rnacentral:lncRNA from 10 species
CAUAUUCCUAAUUCAUACUUUCUUCUCUCCGUUUCAUAAAUAUUUGUUUUCCAGGUAUCACAGAAAGAAUUGAAAGGCAAGGUUGUCAGACAGAUAUGGCAGCUAAGACACCAACUGAGGAAUGUUAUCAAUGUAGCUCCGUGAAAUUGCCAUAUUUUACAUCCUGCAGUUCUGCAGUCAAGUGGUGGUAUUUUUGUCACAGCCCACAUCAAAGCCCAGAUGGCAUGAGGGAGGGAUGGAAAUGGGGCUCCAUAACCCUCAGGAACUCUGAAGAUUUCAUCUCCUAAGUGGAGCCAGAAUCCAGACGCUGGGAAAUGUGAAUGUUCCAAUAUGGCUGACCAUCAUGGAAUGGGAUCAACAGAUGGAAAUAGGAGGCUUCAUCUUCUUCAUCUUGGUCCUGAGGCUCCAUCAGCCAGGUUUCCAGCACACAUUAAACCCAGGGCUAGAGUCUUUAUCAAAAGAAGACAUUUGGACACAGACACAUACACAGAGAGGACACUGUGUGAAGACGAAGACAGAGAUUGGAGUGAUGCAUCUGCCAGCUGGGGAAUACUGAAGUCUGCCAUGAUUCUGUUGUGGGCUCUGUGAGGAGCAAAGGAAAGCACACCACAAGAGCCAGAGGGAGAGAGCUUGGCAGAACUCUGG